ACUAGACAUUCAGGUCGAAAUGUUGGAGGAAGAAGUGUUCCUGGAUAUGAAUCCCAAUGGAGUAACCUUAGACGAGUACUAUGCACAAUGCAAACGGAUUACUAUACAGACAAGUGAGCCCGCGCGAAACGCAGAAAUUUAGCAUAGUUAAGUGUUUAAAUUAAUAUUUAUCUUUAGUUUCAAUGGGUUGGUUAUAUAUUUUAGUGAACACUUACUUAUGUGUGAUCUUUGCUUAUACAGGAUGUUACGAUACUGAGAGAUGAAGUCAUUGCGGUUGAAUAAAUUGCAUAAGAAUAGAGUUAUGAUUCUUUGAAUUGAAUAAGACAGUGUAGUUACUUUAUAUUGUUUGAUUUCUUAUGUGUGAUCCACUAUCAUAUAUGUUCUUAUCGUGUUCUUUGUAGGGUUGUUGUGUAUUUUGGUGUUCUUCCGGAUUUUACAACUAUUUACUUAAUUUUAAAGUGCAAGCGACGGUUUGUGGUGCUAUUUUAUUUCCUUUAGAAGUAUGUCUAUGCUUUAGUGAUGGUAAUAUGUAUGUUUUUUUUUGUCAGCUAUGUUUUUUUUUUAAUUAUUUCAUUUACUAUAUCUUAUUAUUUUAUUUUAAAGAUUAUGUUUUGAUUAUGUAGUAAUCAUUGGUUGUACUUUUUAUAUCAUUUUUUUGAUUAUGUAGUAAUUAUUGGUUGUGCUUUUUAUAUCAUUUUUCACGUUAAUUUCUCUAAGCUUGAACUUGGCACCCACAAAAGAAAGAAAUUCUAGUAAGUUUUCUUCUUCUUUUUUCGUUGGUCGGGAUUUGAUGAUGAAACGUUAAAAAAUAAUAUUGCAAAUCAUUUUUAUUUCUUUGUUGUUCUUAUGAUUUUUUUCUAUUUGUUCUCGAAGUUUAUAUAUCUUGGAUUAAAUUACUAAAUUAUUACUUGUUAACUAAUUUUCACACCAAAUCAAGUUAUAUUAUGUAUUUUUACUAACUUAUUUAUUGUCAAUUUGUUAUAUUAUCUUAUUUUUGUUUCUCCAAUUAGUUUGUAAGAUAUUUAUCUUAAUUAAUUAUUUAUUAAUCACUGGUUGUGGUUCCUAUUAUUUAUUUUUGUUUUUGUUAAUUUCUCUAAAUUUGAGCUUAAUUAGUGACCAGAAAGGAAAACAAAUGUGGAUGAGAUUUACUUUUUUUUUUUGUCUUUGGCUUAGGUUUGAAGAAACGGAAAAUGUGAUAUUGUAAAUGAUUUUUUUUCUUUUCUUUCUUAUAGACUUCUCUAUUUUUUCUGUAUUUUUUUUUAUUUUUAAGCUUUAUUAUAUAAUUUUUACUAAAUUAAAAAUAUUUAUUAAACUUUUCAAUAAGUUCAAGUUAUAUAAUGUAUUUUCUUAUUAUAUUUUUCAUAUUAUGUUAGUUUCUGUUUUUCCAAAUAAUUUUUAAAAUAUAUUUAAUUAUGUAUUAAUCAUUAGUUCUGAUUUUCGAUAAUUUGUUUAUCUGGUCUAGGCUUAAACUUGGUGGCCGAAAAAUAAUAGUUUUUUUGUUGGAAUUCAUUACUUUUUUAUUUUUGUUGGUCUGUGUUUGAUGAAACAUGAAAAAAUAGCAUAAAUAAACUUCUAUUUUUUGGUUAUAUGGAUAAUAUAUUAUAUAUUCAUUAAGUUAUUAUUUAUUAAUUAAAAGAUUGAUGUCAGAAUUUUGGUUAGAUUGAAAAUCAAGAAUUGUUUUUUAUGAUUUAUUAAAUGUUUUGUUAAUAUAAUUUGUUUAAAUAAUAAAAUAUGAGAAUUUAGGAUUCUUCAUUAAUAUUUAAAAAUUAUGCUUAUGUGUCAAGUUUAUAAAUAAUCUAUUGAUGAGGUGGUUUAAAGAGAAGAGCUGACAUUUGUCUUUAGUUUCAAAGGAUUGGUUAUACAUUUGUCUUUAUUUAUUUUUUUUCGUGCCAAAAAAAGAAAAGAAAAAAGGUUAUAUAUUUUUUUUAUAAACCCUUAUUUAUCUGUGAUCUUUGUUUAUAUAUGAUGUUAAGAUAUUGAGAUAUGAAGACAUUACGGUCGACUAUGCAUAAUAAUAUAGUUCUUUGUAGAGUUUUGUAUUGCGGCAUUCGUUCGAACUUUGCAACUAUAUACUUUAAUUUUAAAGUAUAGGAUACGGUGUUGUAGUGCCAUUUUGUUUUCUUUAAGAGUGUGUGGAUCUUUUAGUGAUGGUAAUAUGUAUGCCAUUUUUUUAUUUUUAUUUGAUAUAUUAUAUCUUGUUAUUUUAUUUUUUAAAUAUGUUUUGAUUACGUAGUAAUCACUGAUUGUGCUUUUUAUAUCAUUUUCAUGUUAAUUUCUCUAAAGCCGAGCUUGGUAUUCUUUUAAACUGUUGCUAAUAUUUUGGAAUAUUUUUUUUUGAUUUUCUAAUAAAAAUUCUUAGUUUUAUUGGGAUAAAAAAAUUGUUUUCUGAAAUAUAAUAAAAUUAUUUUGUUGCUUUUUAUAACUUAUUGUACUACCUAUUAGAUAAAAUUAAAAUUAUUAGUGGUUUAUAUUUGCAGAAUUAAAAUCAAAUAAUUUGUUCAUUAAAAUAACUCGUAUUGGUCUAGAUAUAUUGCAUGUUUGAUGAAAAACACAAAAUCGUAUAGUAUUAGUAUAUUCAUAAUAUUUACUAAUUUUCUUUGUCAAGUUAUAUUUUAAUAUAAUUUUACUAAUUUAAAAGUUUUCAUUUCAUAAUCUAAUUUAAUUAAUACUAGUUUACAUAUUUUAUUUUAUAAUAUUUAAUUUUUUCAAAAUAAGUUUAUCUGAAAAAAUAAAAUUGUGUUAUUUAUGGGAAAAUUGCCACAAAUAUUACAUUCAUAGUAUUAUUUUUCAUAUUUAAAUUAACUACUUUCACCAUCCCUUUUAAUAAAGGGUAAAAUACAUUUAUACCCAUAUAAUUAACUAAUCUAGAUUUAGGGUUUAGAGUUGAGAGGUGUGAUAGGAUUUUUAGAAUGUGAAAUUUAGAAUUCUAAUAAAUAUAUAAAUAAAUACUUAAAAAAUAUAUUUUUUUAAAAAAGUUUUAAACAUAAUUUUCGAUUUUCAAUUUAUUUUAAAAAAAAAUCGAAAAUUUUAAAUAAAUAAAUUUUAUUAAUAAGUUCGAAUUUAAAAAAGUACAAUUCAAAAAUAUAAAAUAAAAAUUAUAUUUAUUUAUGAGAAUUUAUUUAUUUAAAAUAUAAUUUUUAUUUAGUUAAAUAAUUAUUUAUUGCAUAUAUAUAGAACAAUGGUAUAAGAAUCUUUUGCCACUAAAUGUCCUCCUUAUUUAUGUGCAUGUUCUAUAAAAAAUAAUUUGGAUAUUAACGUAUUUAAUUAUAUUUAUCAUUAUUUUAAUUAUUUAAUCAUACUUAUGUAUUAUAACGAGAUAUGAUUAUAUUAUUUUUUCGUUUUAAAUUUUCAAAUUAACAGAAUAUUAAUUUAUAAUUAUAUUUUAACAAUUUUUACUAAUUUAUUUAUUUUAAAAUAUAGAAUAAAAGGAUUUUAUAAGAUUAUAAUGUAAUUAAAAGUUUAUAUAUUUAUAGUUAAAUGAAAAUAUAUUAUGAAUAGUUAAUUUUAAUCAAUUAACCAUUUUAUUUCCAUAAUAUAAUUCUGUUUUAAUAGAAUUGAUAAAAUCUAUGAAAUGUGAAAUUAUAAAUAUUUCCAUAUUAUACUUCGGUUAUACAAAAAUCUAUGAAAUUAGAAAUUUCAGUAGAUUUCAAAAGAGAUGUAAUCACUAAACUGUCAAGAGACAGAAAAGAAAAGAAAAAUACGUACCAAUUUAGAGAAUAAUCCCCUUCUAUGUUUGCAACAUCAGUUAAAGCUUUGGUCCAUCUCAGCUUAAGUUCCUUAGUUUUCCCUUCACAAGUUUUCUCAAAAAUGCUUCCGAAAUCCCCGUUUUGUUUCCGAACACAAGACGGAUCAACUUUGUAAAAAAUCGUCAUCACUAUCUUCCCUUGAUCUUCUUUGCGUUUCAAGAUUUCAACCAACUCAUCUAAACACCAGCUUGAAGAAGCGUAUUUCUUUGAGAGCACUACCAUCAGGACCCUCGAUUCUCUAAUGGCUUGUACGAGUUCAGGUCCAAUCGUGUGGCCUCUCUCGAUCUCGUGAUCCUUGAACAUUGUGAUCCCUUUGCUUUCAAAGUGUUUAUGUAAAUGACUGAGGAAUGAUCUACGAAUAUCUGGGCCAUGGAAGCUAGGGAAGACAUGAUAUCUUCUGAUCUGAGUCAAAGACGCCAUGAGAGAAAUUAAAGAAGGAGAAAGCUAGCAAUGGAUGAGAAAAUGGGUUACAAUGAACGAAUAGGUAAAGACAAAAGAAAGGAGAAACGUAGAAGUGGUUUGAAUGCUCAUACGUAUAUCCUACUAUAUAAAAGCUACUAAUUUUGAGGCUUUUUAGGAGUGCCACAUAGGAUAAAAUAUUCUCUACCAAUCAAACUGCCACGUUAUCGCGAAUGUUUAGAUGAUGGGUCUCGAACCAUCCAAACCCGUCAAAAUAGCCAGCCCAUUGUAUAACUUAUAGCUUCCUUUUCUUUAGCCUACUUGCCUCAGACGUCUCCAGCGACUCCAAAUCUGUUCGUCUACCCAACUUCACCGGUAUAACUUCUACGACUACAACAAUGACACUUCAAUGCUCCAUUAUAACUCAUCAAGUGAAGACUCUUUGUACCUCUCCACAUCCCUCUUCUCAAUCUCUUGUCCAGUUCCUUAAAUUUGAUUUGUCACAAAAAGUUAGUGCAUCAUAUAGUUUUUGAAAUUCAAAUAAUACUAGGUGUUUUUCUGCACCAUGUACAAUGAUAAAUUUUUUUAAAGUUAAAUUAUAUUUAAAAUGAAAUUUAUUAAUAUUAUAUAUUUUAUUAUUUUUGACUAAUAUUUAAUAUAAAGUUGACUAUUUUUGAGACUAUAAUGUUUGCUAUUGUGAUCAACACCUUUUUGCAGUACUCUGUUUGUAUCUUUUUUUAUUAGUCAUCUUCCUGUUAUUUUUUUCUUUUUGGUAAAAUGAUUAAAAAAAAGACUGAAGCUAAAAUUUGUCUGAUUAAAAAAAAGACUGAAGCUAAAAUUAAUCUUUUUGUUCUUGAUCAUUCACGUUAUCUUCAAAGUUAAUAACAUAGCCAACGUAAAUGAUCGACGUUGAGAUUUCAGCUUUUCUGUUUUUUACUAUUCUAAUGUUCAAUAUAAUUUGAAUAUUCUCUUUGUUUUAUAACAUAAUGGUUUAAAAAUAUUUUUUUUUUCACUAUAUAAAUUGUUUUUAUAUUUCAAUGUAACUUUAUAUUUAUUAGAUAUUGUGUAGCCAAUUAAAUUAUGUAAAUUACUGUGUAAUUGAUUAAAUUUAUAUAUUAAAUAACAGAUUUCUAAAGUAAUAACUUUUAAAUAUUACAUAUUUUAAUUAAAAUUGAUUAUAUUUUGAAACAGAUAGAGUAAUCUAUAAACUAACUCUAUAUAGAUAUGAAGACAAAAUUGUAAACUGAUCUCAUCUUGAAUUUCUCUCAUUCUAUGCAUUCUUAAUUGGGAGGAGAUAAUCAACAUCUAAUUUUAUGUUAGUCUCAGUAUAUUAGAAAUAGUCGAACCAUAAAUCAAUUAAGGAUGAUGUAAGGAAGACAUAAAGAUGUAUUUCCAGUUAUCACAAAUAUAGAAUCAAUUGGCAACAACUUAAUUAUGUCCAGCAUAAGACAACAUAGAAGACUUUCCAUACCUUCUAAUAUUAUAAUAUCUCACUAUAUUAUUGGUUAAAUCAGUUUUCUCUAGCACAAAUACUCACUCAAUUCUUAGAGUUUAAGCUUUUCUAUCUGAUGAUAUUAGUAGUUUGAUCCAAAAAAAAAGAAGAAACGGUCGAACUGUACAUUAUAAUUAGAGAAAGAAAACAAGCAAAAAUCAACCGAAGACUUUUAAGGUAUAUGAAACAAAAAUUGGAAAUAUCAAUUCUCUGUAUUUAAAGAAUAAUGAAAUAAAAUUGUAAAAAUACAAAAUAAAACAAAAAAA